rnacentral:rRNA from 1 species
GGUUGAUGCCAUGCUUCCAAGAAAAGCUUCUAAGCUUCAGGUAACCAGGAACCGUACCCCAAACCGACACAGGUGGUUGGGUAGAGAAUACCAAGGCGCUUGAGAGAACUCGGGUGAAUGAACUAGGCAAAAUGGCACCGUAACUUCGGGAGAAGGUGCGCCGGUGAGGGUGAAGGACUUGCUCCGUAAGCCCACGCCGGUCGAAGAUACCAGGCCGCUGCGACUGUUUAUUAAAAACACAGCACUCUGCAAACACGAAAGUGGACGUAUAGGGUGUGACGCCUCCCCGGUGCCGGAAGGUUAAUUGAUGGGGUUAGCUAACGCGAAGCUCUUGAUCGAAGCCCCGGUAAACGGCGGCCGUAACUAUAACGGUCCUAAGGUAGCGAAAUUCCUUGUCGGGUAAGUUCCGACCUGCACGAAUGGCGUAACGAUGGCGGCGCUGUCUCCACCCGAGACUCAGUGAAAUUGAAAUCGCUGUGAAGAUGCAGUGUAUCCGCGGCUAGACGGAAAGACCCCGUGAACCUUUACUAUAGCUUUGCACUGGACUUUGAAUUUGCUUGUGUAGGAUAGGUGGGAGGCUUUGAAGCGUGGACGCCAGUUCGCGUGGAGCCAACCUUGAAAUACCACCCUGGCAACUUUGAGGUUCUAACUCAGGUCCGUUAUCCGGAUCGAGGACAGUGUAUGGUGGGUAGUUUGACUGGGGCGGUCUCCUCCUAAAGAGUAACGGAGGAGUACGAAGGUGCGCUCAGACCGGUCGGAAAUCGGUCGUAGAGUAUAAAGGCAAAAGCGCGCUUGACUGCGAGACAGACACGUCGAGCAGGUACGAAAGUAGGUCUUAGUGAUCCGGUGGUUCUGUAUGGAAGGGCCAUCGCUCAACGGAUAAAAGGUACUCCGGGGAUAACAGGCUGAUACCGCCCAAGAGUUCAUAUCGACGGCGGUGUUUGGCACCUCGAUGUCGGCUCAUCACAUCCUGGGGCUGAAGCCGGUCCCAAGGGUAUGGCUGUUCGCCAUUUAAAGUGGUACGCGAGCUGGGUUUAGAACGUCGUGAGACAGUUCGGUCCCUAUCUGCCGUGGACGUUUGAGAUUUGAGAGGGGCUGCUCCUAGUACGAGAGGACCGGAGUGGACGAACCUCUGGUGUUCCGGUUGUCACGCCAGUGGCAUUGCCGGGUAGCUAUGUUCGGAAUAGAUAACCGCUGAAAGCAUCUAAGCGGGAAACUAGCCUCAAGAUGAGAUCUCACUGGGACCUUGAGUCCCCUGAAGGGCCGUCGAAGACUACGACGUUGAUAGGUUGGGUGUGUAAGCGCUGUGAGGCGUUGAGCUAACCAAUACUAAUUGCCCGUGAGGCUUGACC